AGGAGCAAGAUUCGUAGAGCCUCAGCCAGCAGACCUAGCUGCUUUGUACGCUGAAUCUGACCCUCUAGCACCGAUUAUAUUCGUAUUGUCGACUGGUACUGAUCCUGCUGCAGAUCUGCUUAAGUUUGCCGAUAAAAUGAAAAUGGGGAAACGUUUCGAGAGUAUAUCGUUGGGUCAGGGGCAGGGACCCAUAGCGGAAGCAAUGAUGAAAGUUGGCUGUGACUUUGGUAAUUGGGUAUUUUUCCAGGUAAGGGUUUCCAGUUACCUUACAGUUAUGAUAACUUCAAAUUAUUAUUUAUACCAGCUGAUACUUGGAAGGGACGCAGGCAUGUUUUUUUAUUAGUGU
rnacentral:misc_RNA from 1 species